rnacentral:rRNA from 1 species
UGGGGAAUUUUGGACAGUGGGGGAAACCCUGAUCCAGCCAUCCCGCGUGUGCGAUGAAGGCCUUCGGGUUGUAAAGCACUUUUGGCAGGAAAGAAACGUCAUGGGUUAAUACCCCGUGAAACUGACGGUACCUGCAGAAUAAGCACCGGCUAACUACGUGCCAGCAGCCGCGGUAAUACGUAGGGUGCAAGCGUUAAUCGGAAUUACUGGGCGUAAAGCGUGCGCAGGCGGUUCGGAAAGAAAGAUGUGAAAUCCCAGAGCUCAACUUUGGAACUGCAUUUUUAACUAACGGGCUAGAGUGUGUCAGAGGGAGGUGGAAUUCCGCGUGUAGCAGUGAACUGCGUAGAUAUGCGGAGGAACACCGAUGGCGAAGGCAGCCUCCUGGGAUAACACUGACGCUCAUGCACGAAAGCGUGGGGAGCAAACAGG